ACCUGGCUGGAUCAGCGGGUGGAGCAUGGGACUCUUGAUCUCAGGGUUGUGAGUUCAAGACCCAUGUUGGGUU
rnacentral:tRNA from 1 species